GGGCAUGGUGGCGCAUGCCUUUAAUUCCAGCACUCAGGAGGCAGAGGUCACCAGAAUCACUGGCCCAUGUUUUAAAGCAAAGACACCUUUCAGAGUUAAGAAGCUAAGGGGAAUGUGGGUGAAAAUAAUCUGCUGGAGACGUCAGGACCAUAUUCUGAAAGACAUUCUGAUGUGUUAUGGGAAAGAACAAGAAAAAAGAUCUGUUUUAUGUUGAACCGUGAGAUGCCACUCUCAAGAGAAGCAGAUGUAGAGGACCAGGCAUAAAUGCCAGGAAGACUAUUAGCCUGUCCCAUGUAAGCCCAAUAAAGUGCUGUCCAUUCAGA